CCGCCUGUCCCCCCCGUCCGUCCGUAUCCGCAUUUUUCAAUUUUCCUGUAAUUUACAUUUUCGGCCGUUUCGUUUCGGUUGUUUCGUUUCGGUCGUUUCGUUUCGGUCGUUUCGUUUCGGUCGUUUCGUUUCGGUUAUUUCGGUGGUUUCGAUGGUUUCGGCCGUUUCGUUUCGGUCGUUUCGUUUCGACGUUUCGCCUUUUAGUACGUGCCUAUUAUUAGCUCGAUUAUUAGUCCGUACAGUACUAUAUAUAAAAACGUACAUUGUUUACAAAUGGUAUAUCCGUAAUAUUUGAACAAUAAUUUCAAAAUCCUCAUUCCCAAUUCGCAAAUAUAGUUAUUCAAAGCAAAACAGUAGAUUGUCUUGCGAAUAAAAGAAUUAUUAUUUUGUGCUUUCGCUUCACCUUG